GACGAACGCUGGCGGCGUGCCUAAUACAUGCAAGUCGAACGCACAGUUUAUACCGUAGCUUGCUACACCAUAAACUGUGAGUUGCGAACGGGUGAGUAACGCGUGGGUAACCUGCCUGGUAGCGGGGGAUAACUAUUGGAAACGAUAGCUAAUACCGCAUAAUAUUGAUUAUUGCAUGAUAAUUGAUUGAAAGAUGCUAUUGCAUCACUACCAGAUGGACCUGCGUUGUAUUAGCUAGUAGGUGAGGUAACGGCUCACCUAGGCGACGAUACAUAGCCGACCUGAGAGGGUGAUCGGCCACACUGGGACUGAGACACGGCCCAGACUCCUACGGGAGGCAGCAGUAGGGAAUCUUCGGCAAUGGACGAAAGUCUGACCGAGCAACGCCGCGUGAGUGAAGAAGGGUUUCGGAUCGUAAAGCUCUGUUGUAAGAGAAGAACGGGUGUGAGAGUGGAAAGUUCACACUGUGACGGUAUCUUACCAGAAAGGGACGGCUAACUACGUG
rnacentral:rRNA from 1 species